UACGGAGGAUCCGAGCGUUAUCCGGAUUUAUUGGGUUUAAAGGGUGCGCAGGCGGGAGAAUUAAGUCGGCGGUGAAAUUUUGCAGCUUAACUGUAAAAGUGCCAUCGAUACUGGUUUCCUUUGAGUGUAGAUGAAGUAGGCGGAAUUUGUGGUGUAGCGGUGAAAUGCAUAGAUAUCACGAGGAACUCCGAUUGCGCAGGCAGCUUACUAAACUACUACUGACGCUCAGGCACGAAGGCGUGGGGAUCAAACAGGAUUAGAUACCCGCGUA
rnacentral:rRNA from 1 species